AAAGGAAAAGAAUUAAAAAUGGGAAGGAGGAAAAGAAAAAGAGAAGUGACAGAAGGGGAGGGGCAGUGAGCUCGUGCAGGGAAGAAAAAAUUUCCGCCAUUCUUUGGCUGACCAUUUGGACAGCCAAACGAGCUCUGUUUCGCAUGAAAUUUUGAAGGAGAGUUCUACUCGACGUGAGAAACGUUUCUACAGUGUCUGAUUUUGUUUUCAAUAGUCUAAUUGGUAGAUUUGAGGUAGGGAGACUUAACCUUAAAACUUAAAUUAAAUAUUUUUUUCUUGAAAAAAAAUUAUAGAUUUUGUUGUUAGGAGUUAAAUAGGUAAUAUUUGUGAUAUAAGAAAUUUUAUUGGAUGAUUUGGGAAUAUUUUUUUGGAAAUUUGGUGAUAAUGGGAAAUUUUUUGGUUGAUAAAUGAUUGCAUUUGGAUUGUUAAAAUUAAUGGGAUUGUUGAGAAUAAAUGAAAUUGUGAUAUAAAUUAUAAUUUAUUGGAAUAUUUUUGGUAAUUUUAUUGUGGAAAAAUAAUUAUAUUUAAUUAUUGGAAUUAUUGGAGUUGUUGGAAAAUUAUGGAAUUUUGGUAUAAAUUAUGUUUAAUUGAGAUUUGAAUUAUUGAAAACUUAUUUGGUUGAUUUUGGUAAUUUUAUUACGGAGAAAAUAAUUAUAUUUGAUUAUUGGAAUUAUUGGGGUUGUGGAAAAAUUAUGGAAUUUUGGUAUAUAUUAUGUUCAAUUGAGAUUUGAAUUAUUGAAAAUUUAUUUGGUUGUUUUGGUAAUUUUGUAGUGGAGAAAAUAAUUAUAUUUGGUUAUUGGAAUUAUUGGGGUGUUGGAAAAUUAUGGCAUUUUGAUAUGAUUGUAAUUUCAAUGAUAUUUGGACUAGACGGAAAUUUUUAUUGGAUAUUGUGAUAUUUGUGAAGGAGGAUAAUUAACCUCAUUGCAUUUCAUUUGCAUCAUGGUUGUAUGAAGGAAAAAUAAAAAUUGAGAAAAGAGCAUGAAAUGGAAAAUGAAAGAAAAAUGAAAUAAUAAUGAAAGGAAAGACUCGUGUGAGGCAAAUUAAGAAGGGAGAGAGAUUCCUAGGGUGAAAGACCAAAAAAUUUACCUCAAAAAGACUCCGAAUGGGGAAUGUAUUUGGGUACAGGAACGUAUUCUACAUUGAAAGCUCGAGAACAACAAUGCAUUGUAUGACUUUGUGCCACAUAUCCAUAUGCAUUUCAUUUAAUUGUUGAAAAUCGUGAAAUUGUUAUAAUUAUAGAUUUUAAAAUAUGUGGGUUGUCCAAUGCUGGUGGAAUGUUUCUUUUAUGUUCACUUGGAACUUAGUAAUCCCAAUUAACCCUUUGGGUGUAAGGCACCCUACUGAGCAAUGUGAAAUGUUCACUCAUUCCUUCUUAUAUCUUUUUAGAUGCAGAUGUGACUCCUAAGGAUCCAUAGAUGGGGUAAGGAGGGCUUCAAGAUGCCCUAGGAGAUUUUAGAGCGACCUAGUGGAUUGUAGUGUAUUUGUUAUGUUGGUUAUUUUGGGACUUGUAUUAGCGAACUUUGAAACUAUAUUUUUGUAAGAAGACUUUAUUUUGAUUAAUUUGCUCAAUUGUGAACUCUCAUUUCUAGACUUUAAUAGUGAUAAUUAUUAUAUCUGGUUGCUUUUGAG
rnacentral:lncRNA from 1 species